rnacentral:rRNA from 1 species
GUGGGGAAUAUUCCGCAAUGGACGAAAGUCUGACGGAGCAACGCCGCGUGAGUGAUGAAGGUUUUCGGACUGUAAAGCUCUGUUGUUUAGGACGAAAGUGCCUGUUGCAAACAGUUACAGGUAUUGACGGUACUAAACGAGGAAGCCACGGCUAACUACGUGCCAGCAGCCGCGGUAAUACGUAGGUGGCAAGCGUUGUCCGGAAUUAUUGGGCGUAAAGAGCAUGUAGGCGGGAAUCUAAGUCUGUUGUGAAAAUGCGGGGCUCAACCCCGUAUUGCGAUGGAAACUGGGUUUCUUGAGUGCAGGAGAGGAAAGGGGAAUUCCCAGUGUAGCGGUGAAAUGCGUAGAUAUUGGGAGGAACACCAGUGGCGAAGGCGCCUUUCUGGACUGUGUCUGACGCUGAGAUGCGAAAGCCAGGGUAGCAAACGGGAUUAGAUACCCUAGUAGUCC